rnacentral:rRNA from 1 species
AACGAACGCUGGCGGCAGGCCCAACACAUGCAAGUCGAACGCUCCGCAAGGGGAGUGGCAGACGGGUGAGUAACGCGUGGGAACGUACCUUUCGCUUCGGAAUAGUCCCGGGAAACUGGGUUUAAUGCCGGAUACGCCGUAUUGGGAAAGAUUUAUCGGCGAAAGAUCGGCCCGCGUUAGAUUAGCUAGUUGGCGGUGUAAUGGACCACCAAGGCGACGAUCUAUAGCUGGUCUGAGAGGAUGAUCAGCCACACUGGGACUGAGACACGGCCCAGACUCCUACGGGAGGCAGCAGUGGGGAAUCUUGGACAAUGGGCGCAAGCCUGAUCCAGCCAUGCCGCGUGAGUGAAGAAGGCCUUAGGGUUGUAAAACUCUUUCGCCGGAGAAGAUAAUGACGGUAUCCGGAGAAGAAGCCCCGGCUAACUUCGUGCCAGCCGCCGCAGUAA